rnacentral:rRNA from 1 species
UCCGGGUUGCGGACAGUGUCUGGUGGGUAGUUUGACUGGGGCGGUCUCCUCCUAAAGAGUAACGGAGGAGCACGAAGGUUGGCUAAUCCUGGUCGGACAUCAGGAGGUUAGUGCAAUGGCAUAAGCCAGCUUGACUGCGAGCGUGACGGCGCGAGCAGGUGCGAAAGCAGGUCAUAGUGAUCCGGUGGUUCUGAAUGGAAGGGCCAUCGCUCAACGGAUAAAAGGUACUCCGGGGAUAACAGGCUGAUACCGCCCAAGAGUUCAUAUCGACGGCGGUGUUUGGCACCUCGAUGUCGGCUCAUCACAUCCUGGGGCUGAAGUAGGUCCCAAGGGUAUGGCUGUUCGCCAUUUAAAGUGGUACGCGAGCUGGGUUUAGAACGUCGUGAGACAGUUCGGUCCCUAUCUGCCGUGGGCGCUGGAGAACUGAGGGGGGCUGCUCCUAGUACGAGAGGACCGGAGUGGACGCAUCACUGGUGUUCGGGUUGUCAUGCCAAUGGCACUGCCCGGUAGCUAAAUGCGGAAGAGAUAAGUGCUGAAAGCAUCUAAGCACGAAACUUGCCCCGAGAUGAGUUCUCCCUGAGACUUUAGGUCUCCUGAAGGAACGUUGAAGACGACGACGUUGAUAGGCCGGGUGUGUAAGCGCAGCGAUGCGUUGAGCUAACCGGUACUAAUGAACCGUGAGGCUUAACCUUACAACGCCGAAG